AUUAAUGCUAGCUGUGCGCCUAACACAUGCAAGUCGAACGAGAUCACGCAAUGAGCUUGCUUAUAGCGUGUGACAGUGGCAGACGGGUGAGUAACACGUCGGAAUCUACCCCAUAUUCAGGGAUAAGCUCGAGAAAUCGGGUCUAAUACCGGAUGGUCCCGCAAGGGUAAAGCUUCGGCGAUAUGGGAAGAGCCUGCGCAUUAUCAGCUUGUUGGUGAGGUAAAAGCUCACCAAGGCUAUGACGAUUAGUUGGUCUGAGAGGACGACCAGCCACAAUGGAACUGAGACAAGGUCCAUACUCCUACGGGAGGCAGCAGUGAGGAAUUUUCCGCAAUGGCCUAUUGGCUGACGGAGCGACACAGUGUGAAGGAUGAAGGUUUUCGGAUCGUAAACUUCUUUUCUGAGGGAAUAAAGUUUGAAGUUACCUCAGGAAUAAGCACCGGCUAACUACGU
rnacentral:rRNA from 1 species